GACGAACGCUGGCGGCGUGCUUAACACAUGCAAGUCGAACGGAAAGGCCCUGCUUUUGUGGGGUGCUCGAGUGGCGAACGGGUGAGUAACAAGUGAGUAACCUGCCCUUGACUUUGGGAUAACUUCAGGAAACUGGGGCCAAUACCGGAUAGGAGCUCCUGCUGCAUGGUGGGGGUUGGAAAGUUUCGGCGGUUGGGGAUGGACUCGCGGCUUAUCAGCUUGUUGGUGGGGUAGUGGCUUACCAAGGCUUUGGCGGGUAGCCGGCCUGAGAGGGUGACCGGCCACAUUGGGACUGAGAUACGGCCCAGACUCCUACGGGAGGCAGCAGUGGGGAAUAUUGCACAAUGGGCGGAAGCCUGAUGCAGCAACGCCGCGUGCGGGAUGACGGCCUUCGGGUUGUAAACCGCUUUCGCCUGUGACGAAGCGUGAGUGACGGUAAUGGGUAAAGAAGCACCGGCUAACUACGUG
rnacentral:rRNA from 1 species